GUGCUUGCUUUGGCAGCACAUAUACUAAAAUUGGAGUGAUAUGGAGAUUAGCAUGGCCCCUUGGCAAGGAUGAUAUGCAAAUUCAUGAAGCGUUCCAUAUUAAA
rnacentral:snRNA from 1 species